rnacentral:rRNA from 1 species
GGCGAACGCUGGCGGCGGGCCUAACACAUGCAAGUCGAACGAACAGACCGGGGUUGGGGGCCUCCGGCGUAGGCAGACGACGGGAGGGGCCCUUUGGGGUAGCCUAACUCUGAGAAACGUGUACCAUUACCGAACGUGCCCUUCUGCCGGAUGAUUUAUCGCAAUUCGUGCUGCCCGCGUCUCAUUAGCUUGUUGGUGAGGUUACGGCUCAUCAAGGGCCCGAUCAGCAGCUGGGUUGAGAGGAUGACCAGCCACACUGGGACUGAGACGCGGCCCAGACUCCUACGGGAGGCAGCAGUGGGUAAUCGUGCGCAAUGGGCGAAAGCCUGACGCAGCCAGGCCGCGAGAAUGAUGAAGGUAUUAGGAUUGUAAAAUUCUUUCACCGGGGACGAUAAUGACGGUACCCGGAGAAGAAGCCCCGGCUAACUUCGUG